rnacentral:rRNA from 1 species
CUUUCUUUGCUGGCGACCGGCGCACGGGUGAGUAACACGUAUCCAACCUGCCCUUUACUCGGGGAUAGCCUUUCGAAAGAAAGAUUAAUACCCGAUAGUAUAAUGAUUCCGCAUGGUUUCAUUAUUAAAGGAUUCCGGUAAAGGAUGGGGAUGCGUUCCAUUAGGUUGUUGGUGAGGUAACGGCUCACCAAGUCUUCGAUGGAUAGGGGUUCUGAGAGGAAGGUCCCCCACAUUGGAACUGAGACACGGUCCAA